GACGAACGCUGGCGGCGUGCUUAACACAUGCAAGUCGAACGGAAAGGCCCUGCUUGCCGGGUACUCGAGUGGCGAACGGGUGAGUAACACGUGGGUGAUCUGCCCUGCACUUCGGGAUAAGCCUGGGAAACUGGGUCUAAUACCGGAUAGGAGCCAUUUUUAGUGUGAUGGUUGGAAAGUUUUUUCGGUGUAGGAUGAGCUCGCGGCCUAUCAGCUUGUUGGUGGGGUAAUGGCCUACCAAGGCGGCGACGGGUAGCCGGCCUGAGAGGGUGGACGGCCACCAUGGGACCUGGGAACGGGCCCGACCCCUACGGGGGGCAAGCAGGGGGAAUAUUUCACAAAUGGGGCAAGCCUGAUGGCAGGGCGGCGGGUUGGGGAUGACGGCCUUCGGGUUGUAAACUCCUUUCGCUAGGGACGAAGCUUUUUGUGACGGUACCUAGAUAAGAAGCACCGGCUAACUACGUG
rnacentral:rRNA from 1 species